AGAUAUUUUAAUAUAUAUAUAUAUAUAUAUACCUUAUAUAAUUCUAAUUUUUAAUAAUUAUAAAAAG
rnacentral:tRNA from 1 species